AUUGAACGCUGGCGGCGUGCCUAACACAUGCAAGUCGAGCGGCAGCGCGGGAGCAAUCCUGGCGGCGAGCGGCGGACGGGUGAGUAACGCUUGGGAAUCUGCCUGUUAGGUGGGGGACAACCCGGGGGAAACUCGGGCUAAUACCGCAUACGCACUACGGUGGAAAGCCGGGGACCGCAAGGCCUGGCGCUAACAGAUGAGCCCAAGUCGGAUUAGCUAGUUGGUAGGGUAACGGCCUACCAAGGCGACGAUCCGUAACUGGUCUGAGAGGACGACCAGUCACACCGGAACUGAGACACGGUCCGGACUCCUACGGGAGGCAGCAGUGGGGAAUAUUGGACAAUGGGGGAAACCCUGAUCCAGCGACGCCGCGUGGGUGAAGAAGGCCUGCGGGUUGUAAAGCCCUUUUCAGUGGGGAAGAAAAGCCUACGACCUAACACGUCGGGGUCUUGACGUAACCCAUAGAAGAAGCACCGGCUAACUCUGUGCCAGCCGCCGCGGUAAG
rnacentral:rRNA from 1 species